rnacentral:misc_RNA from 1 species
UUUAUAUUCAAUUUGUAUUAGCUGUCUAAACUUUUAAAGCUAUAAUGAAAUAUUUGAAUUUUUUAUUUGACGAUAAUAUUGAGGAUAAGUUCAGUUAGGUCUGUUUGGAUGUUAAGAAAAUGCAGGAAAAAGAGAAGAAAUUAAAAACUUUGACCGUCGUUUUAAGUGGGACCUGAAGAAAACAGAAAUUCAAUUAGCUUGAGCCAUACAUGAGGAUUUGACCUGGUUUAUUCAAAAUUCUACUUUCUGCAUUCUUUUCACUUCUCUUUCUAAUUCUACAGAACGAAUUUAGAUGUGGAAGCAUUGUGUGUCAACAUGACUGAGUAAUCAGAGGAAUUAAUAUUUUCUG